ensembl:lncRNA
GGAGGAGGUGAUGAGGAGGACAGAGUCUGAUGGGAAUGAAUGAGAAGCAGGAGGUGAAAAAGGAGAAACAGGUUCAUGUACCUUCAGUGUGAAGCUCCGCUGCUUCUCCUGCAGCAACUUCCUGCUUCUUCUCCUCCACAUCUUCCAGUCCAGAGUCAUGAUGAUCAGGUUCAUCCACCGUCGGAGAGGAGACGCAAGGAGGUGAUGUAGACUCCUCAGGGAGAGGAGGAGGAACACUGGACUCCUCAGAAACAGUGUGAUGAAGACUGGACUCCUCGGAGUGUUCUAGGUGUGUGUCUGUUGUGUUAUUUCCAGAUAAAGGGUCCUCAGCGUGUUUGUGUUUUGUGUUAUUUUCAGUAAAACAGUCUUUUUCUAUAUGUGCUUGUCUUUCUCCUCUUUCUCCUCCUCCUCUCUCUUCUUCCAUCACCUCCUCUUUUCUCUCCAGACUCUGCUGCAUGAUUAGAACCUGAACCUCCUCUUCUAGCUCCACCUGCUCGGCACCUUCAUCCUCUGACUCCUCCUCUUCAUCCUGGCUCCUCCUACACUGCUCCUCCUCCUGCACCUCCUCUUCUCCUUCUGACUCUACAACUUCAUUCUUUCCUUCUGUCUCCUCCUGCUCUCUCUGUUCUGUUCUGGUUUCAGGUUCUGGGUUCUGGUUCUGGCCUGGUUCUGUACCUGCUAUAGGUUCCUGCUGACAGGAAACUGGUCUGAGGACAACUGCUCCACAGAAGUCCUGGUCCUGGUCCUGGUCCUGGUCCUGCUCUGAGAGCCUGGAGUCCACCUCCACACCGGGCUGACAGAAGUGUGUGGUUCCACUGGUGUGUGUCAUAGCAGCAGAGUGUGCAUUUGUGGUGUGAGGUGUAUGUGUUGUUGUUCCAGGUGUGUGUGUUUCAGAUGUGUGUGCAGGUGUGUGUGUCCCAGGUGUUUGUGUUGUUGUAGUGUGUGUAGGUGUGCGUGUUGUUGUUCCAGGUGUGUGUGUUGUUGUAGUGUGUGUAGGUGUGUGUGUUGUUGUUCCAGGUGUGUGUGUUGUUG